rnacentral:lncRNA from 10 species
GGUGGACCCAGGUUUUGGGUGACCUGAAGUUCCUAGGAUUUUCUGAAUCCUCCUUGAGAAGAUAAAAUUAAGUCCAGCGUCUUAGGAGGGGCCUUUGGAAAGGAGGGCCUCUGAGGCCCAAGCUAAGUUAGUGUCGUGGUGAAUCUGCCAUUCCCAUCUCCGUUGUAAGAGGCAGAAAAUCAGACUUAAGAGCUGGGAAGACAUUUUGGAAUGGGCUUUGGUUGUUCAUUUAGGAACCUGCCUUUGCCGGGCCAUCUGAUGGCCAGGGGGUCACUGAGGACUGGGGCAGUGGGCCUGGGGCCCGUGGGGUCUGAUGUGUGUAGAGGCACACAUGGGAGCUGGUACUGCUGGGGGAAGUCCAUGGGACCAGUUUAAAGUCAGCAGGCAAGAUCAGGUCAGCUAAAAUGACAAGUGGAGGAUAGCGGGAUGCCAGUCAGGGAGGCCACUGAGCUCCAAGAGCAGUGUUCCCAGUACCACUGGGUUUGGGAUUGUCUCCAGCCAUGGGCACACUAGCUGGCUCCGCCGCCUCUCCCUGGGGAGAAGGGGAAGUUUGCUUUCCCAAGCCUGGGUUCCACUGCCUUGCACCAUUUUUGGUAGAGACGGGGUUUCACCAUCUUGGCCAGGCUGGUUUGGAGAAGGCUAUGCACUUUUUGCAAUAUUUCUCAUGAUUUUUCCUGAUAAAGAAAUAUUAAUACCUACCUGCUUAUCAUAAGAGAUACAUUCAUGCUCAUGGUCAUUGAAUGAUAAUCCUCAGAAACUCCUAGUUGACCCUGUUGGAUUAAUGGUUGCAUUUUCUCUGGAGAGAUAAAAAUGGAAAACCAACAGAAAAACAGGAAGCUAACAUAGGAAAAGGAAACAAACAUUUGAGUGCUGAGAACCACUCUCCUGAAGGCAGCUCUGGCCAAAGAAAUGCAAGAAUCCCCAUCACUUUUGGAGUGUCGGAGACACUUUACGUCGGUGCUCCUCUAAGUAUGUUCCAUGUUCUCCUGCCUCAGCCUCCCGAGUAGCUGGGACUACAGGCACCCGCCAGCAUGCCUGGCUAAUUUUUUGUAUUUUAUCUGCAGAUGAGGAAACUGAGGCUUGGAAAGGUCAAGCCACCUGCUCAAGGCUAGGUGUCUCUAAACCAAGGUAGGGCAGGGCCUUGUGGGUAUGUUACCAGUGUAGUCACGUAGGACUCCACACUCCAGGUGUAAUGCCCUAUGCUCACCAUCUUGAAAUUCUUAGUAAUUUUAUUUUUGAGUGUGUGUUUUGUAAGCAAAGUCCCAUGGGACAAUGGAGCAUGCAGCAGGCUUGGAGCCUCGACUCCUGCCUGGGCCUGCCGCCCUAUUUUGCACCUCCCCACUUACCCUGUAAGGGUUUUGCUUCCUCACUCCCUCCUGGCAACUGCUGCCACCCCCAUCUUCAGGGGCCCUGGAUCAGGAUGCCAGCCUGGCAGGCAUGCCCCAUGCACAGAGCCAUGAGGCAGGCCCUGGGCAACUAUGAGGGACUGCACCUGCCACACAGGUGAAUCCCAUGCCCGAGGGGGCACACCAUUAAAUAGCAAAUAAAAAUACCAUGACAGCUUGAGAGAGAGACUGUAGAGAAAGGAAGAACUCUUUCCCUGCUUUUUUUUUGAACAAAGGGUUUUGCAUUUUCAUUUCGCAUCAAACUCUGCAAGUAAUGUAGUUGGCUCUGCAUAUGGCCAGGAUUUUUUUUUUUUUUUUUUUUUUUUUUGAGACAGAGUCUCACUCUUCCCCAGGCUGGAGUGCAGUGGCAUGAUCUCAGCUCACUGCAACUUCUGCCUCCCCAGUUCAAGCGAUUCUCCCGCCUCAGCCUCCCGAGUAGCUGGGAUUACAGGCAAGUGCCACCACGCCCAGCUAAUUUUUGUACUUUUAGUAAAGAUGGGGCCAGGUGAGUCUCAAACUCCUGACCUCUGGUGAUCUACCCACCUCAGCCUCCCAAAGUGCUGGGAUUACAGGCAUGAGCCACUGCGCCUGGCAGGGCCAGAACAGCCCUCAUGGGCCAUGCUCUGUUUUCUCCCUCUGUACCUGAUUGCUCUGUUGUCCAAGGACUGCAUGGCCCACUGCUACAUGAAAGAGGCCAAAUGACAGUUUCUUCUGGUAGGAAAAGUCAUGGAUUUGAAUUGGUUUUUUAAAGUCCCUGAACCUGGCUGUGCUUGGUCAGUGCAGGUGGAACUUGGGCCUCUCCGCGUGCUAGACUCUAGGAUCUUCAGGAGGGAAUUGCUUCGUUAUGCCAGCUAGUCUCACAUCAGACUCUGGUUUGGGGGAUUAGAGGUUCAUUCUUUUGUAAAGAGAACAGUGCUUGAGACCCUGUGGCCCUGAAUCAGGCAGACCUGGGUUCAAAUCCCAGCUCUGCCACUUCUUUUAUUUUUCUUUUAUUUUUUAUUUUUGAGACGGAGUCUCGCUCUGUCGCCCAGGUUGGAGUGCAGUGGCGCGAUCUUGGCUCACUGCAAGCUCCGCCUCCCAGGUUCACGCCAUUCUCCUGCCUCAGCCUCCUGAGUAGCUGGGACUACAGGCGCCCACCACCACGCCCGGCUAAUUUUUUUGUAUUUUUAGUAGAGACGGGGUUUCACUGUGUUAGCCAGGAUGGUUUCGAUCUCCUGACCUCGUGACCCGCCCGCCUUGGCCUCCCAAUGUGCUGGGAUUACAGGAGUGAGCCACCGCGCCCAGCCCCAGCUCUGCUACUUCUUAACCAUGUAGUAUGGGACAGAUCUCUUAACUCAAGACUCGGUUCUUAAAUGCUGUAAAAUGAAUCUCCUUCGUGGGGGGUGUAGUGAGACUACGAACAGCUAGAGAACUGCUGCUUAGGCCUGGAUACUUGACUUGUGGUUUGUAGCCCAGCAGCAUCAGCAUCACUUGAGAAUUUAUUAGAAGUGCAAAUUCUUAGGACUUAGCCCAGAUUUUCUGAACCAGAAUCAUUUAACAAGAUUCCCAUAUGAUUUGUGUGCACAUUAAUGUCUGAAAAGCGCUAUUCUCAGGGAUCUUCCAGAAGAAUGAAUUUCAAUGUUGGAGUCCAUCAUAUAGAUCCAUAUUUAAAGACUUCUGGAGACAAAGGAAUUCUCAGGUGUCCUACCUUAGCUUAAGGUUGGCAAACUCCUAUUUAUCCUUCAAAACCUUUCUCAGUAUUUUCCCCUGGGAGCUUUUUGAGCCCGGAUGAGCCAGGAAAAGGACUUUCACAAGGUAAUGUCAUCAGUUAAGGCAAGGACCGGCCAUUUUCACGUCUUUUGUGGUGGAAUGUCAUCAGUUAAGGUGGGGCAGGGCAUUUUGUUACUUCAGGCCAUCUGGGCAUAUACGUGCAAGUCACAGGGGAUGCGAUGGCUUGACUUGGGCUCAGAGGCCUGACACAAACCUGUUGAUUUCCUGGCCCAGCUUGAGUGAUAUUUCUCCUCUCUCCAUCCCCAAGGGGACACAUCACUUGAUUUCCUGGCUACUUUUGCUCUGUUGUGGGUGAAGAAAGCCACUGCGACUGCAUGACUGUGACUUAGAUGGAGAGGGGAGGAUCAAUCUCUUUCCACUGUACUCCAGCCUGGGCAACAGAGUGAGACUCUGUCUCAAAAAUAAAUAAAUAAAUAAAUAAAAAAUAUAAAUAUAAAUAUAAAGAAUAUCUACUUAGUGUCUUGGUAUUAUUCUCUAUUCUCGACACUUACUGAAUAAGGAGUGCUACUGCUGAGGGAUGAGUACGGAGAGGUGAAAAUUGCUAUGCUGGUUUACUUCUGCGGUUUUGUGGGUUUAGAAAUUAAGAAUUUCUAAAGUAGGAGGAAAGUAGGAAAGUCAAGAAGAGCAGGAACCAGAACCUAGUUGGCAGGCAGGAAAGCGGGGUUCCCAUGGACUAUUUUUAUUUUAUUUUUGAGACAGAGUCUCACUCUGUCACCCAGGCUGGAGUCCAGUGGUGCCAUCUUGGCUCACUGCAACCUCCGCAGACACUCCAAAUCUGAUUCUGUGGACUGAGCCAAGGGAGAGACUGCCUGGCAGCCCCAGGAGUGGUUGGCCAACUGGGCGGCUCCAGAAGGGCCGAAAGAUGCUGGGAGACACGGAGGGCAGCCUUGUGACUAUAGGAGGCAGUUUAUUUUUUCUCUUACUCUCUUUUCUUGCCCCUUGCUCUCUUCUCACUCGAAUCCUAUUAACGUCCUCUCUUUUGACUCUGCGUCCUCAAACAUACUGUAUUUCAAGACUGGUGGGAUUAUCGUAUCCAAAAGCAUCUCAGGGAAAAACAGCUGGAAUAUCUAGGAUAAGAAGGCAAACUGGCAAGAGGUGAAGGGGAGUGUAAUUGCCCUUCUUUUUGUUGACCUGCAAAGCCGCAUGCUUUAACCAUCUCAUGAUAGCAGGAUUUUUCUGUGUGUACGUGGUUUUUUCUUUUCUUUCUUUCUUUUUUUUUUUCUUGAGAGUCAAAUGUAAUACUCUCGUAUUUUCCUUUUUUUGUUUUUCAGGGAAAUAUAAGAGGAAUUCAUUUUCUUUGGGAUUAACAAAAUCUUUCUUCUUUUAUGUUGGCAACAUGAGGUUUUAGCAGAUCUCUGAUCUUGUACUGAAUAAAAAAUAUGGUAUCACAAUGGUGCACGGAGGCUGGGAGCUUGAACUCAAUUUGGAUUAUGGAGUACAGCAGUGGGCCUGCUGCAGCUAAUAGAGGCGGGUCUUUGGAGGUGAUGCGGAGGGACGGCCCCAGGGGACCCAGCCCUACCCGCCCUGCCUGUUGUUCCACCCUAAUCUGAGGCCAGUUACCAGGAGGCUGAGCCUCACUCAGAUGCUCAGAGGCGGCAGGCCAGCAUCAAGCUGUCAGCCAGGUGGAGGCGAGGUGCUGCCGUGCAAAAGCCGGACGGACAGCGAGUGGGGAAGUGUAGGAGAGUCGGGAUGUUGGUUGAGCCAUUUAACCUCCCCGAGUCUCAGUUCCUCCAUCUCUAAACUUGGGUUAAUCCCAUCCGUGUCUCAAGGCCUCAGCAGUCUAGGGGUGCAGAAGGGAUCCCCGUGACACGUUUGGGAGUUUUGUUAGCUUCUCACUGGGUAACUGCACGAUCUCAGCACUUUUCUCUCUCCUGGUUCUCACCAAUCUCUCAUUUUUCUUGUUAUUUCUUCCCCUUUUCCGGUGGUGACUUAAAUGUAUACUGACACAGUCCACUGUAUUUUCGCAUUCCCACCGCGGUGUUGUCUGGCCCAGCAGCAGCGCGGCUGACUCCCGGAGUCCCACCGCCACUCAGGAAAACAGUUCUUUGGGCUCCAACAUUGCACACCCAAUGGGGACUCCAGCCUGGCUGUCGGGGACAGAGUGGGGCCAUGCUCCCCAUUUCCUUGUGUUUCUUACCAUUCCCCAAGUGGUGUGCCAAUCUUUUCCCCUUUUCUAUCAAACAAAUCCUCAGCACCUAUUUCCUGGUGCACAAAUGCUUGAGAUGCUGCUGGUCCUGUAUCCCCUAUCUUAGCCCCAGGCAGCCUGCCGUGGAUGUGUUAUGCAUCUGCUACGUAUCUGUGUACACAGGGCUCUUGAGAGGGUUUGUGUGAAUGGCAUGGAAUCAAAUUUGAUCAUGGGAGCAGCCCACAAUUGUUGCGUGCUUUCGCUGUAUGCCAGGGGCUGCUGGGUGAUGAGCCCGUUGUGUGCUUUUUCUCACAGAAUCCGCUAAACAACCUAUUUUCAGAAAGCGAGCCCUGGAGAAGAGAAAUGAGCAAAAAACUUAGUGGCCCCAGCAGGAUUCAAACCCAGGCAUUCUGUUUCUAGGACCUGCCUUCUGAAGCACCACUGUGUGUUUGUAAAUGACUUUCCCCAAGACUGGCACAUGGUCACUGUCUGGUACCUGUCAACCCUAGCUGUAAAUUGAUGCUGUCUCCUCAAUCUCCUCCUGGUAAAGGCAGGACAGACACAGACAGAGACAGGAGAGAAGACGAA